UAUAAAUUCGUUUUUAUACUCCAUCGACCCUCUUUGCAUUUUAUUCUAAACGACAGUGCCGUUUUGAGCUUCUUAAGUAAAAAUUCCCGAGCCAAAAUAAGGUGAAGCCGAUGCUCUAAUGGCACCGGCGAAGAAGGGGAAAGCCAAGGCCAACUCGCCCGAUUCAAAUCAAUCAAAGCCGUCGGCUCCAAAUACCGGAAACAAUUUCCCGUCUUGUAUUCGAUUCAUGCCUCCGUCCUCCGUCGCCAUCACCAUCCACGCUAAGCCUGGCGCCAAAUCCUCCUCCAUCACAGAUUUCAGUGAUGAAGCGUUAGGGGUGCAAA
rnacentral:misc_RNA from 1 species